GAUGAACGCUGGCGGCGUGCCUAAUACAUGCAAGUCGAGCGAAUGGAUUAAGAGCUUGCUCUUAUGAAGUUAGCGGCGGACGGGUGAGUAGCACGUGGGUAACCUGCCCAUAAGACUGGGAUAACUCCGGGAAACCGGGGCUAAUCCCGGACAACAUUUUGAACCGCAUGGUUCGAAAUUGAAAGGCGGCUUCGGCUGUCACUUAUGGAUGGACCCGCGUCGCAUUAGCUAGUUGGUGAGGUAACGGCUCACCAAGGCAACGAUGCGUAGCCGACCUGAGAGGGUGAUCGGACACACUGAGACUGAGACACGGCCCGGACCCCUACGGGAGGCAGCAGUAGGGAAUCUUCCGCAAUGGACGAAAGUCUGACGGAGCAACGCCGCGUGAGUGAUGAAGGCUUUCGGGUCGUAAAACUCUGUUGUUAGGGAAGAACAAGUGCUAGUUGAAUAAGCUGGCACCUUGACGGUACCUAACCAGAAAGCCACGGCUAACUACGUGCCAGCCGCCGCAGUAA
rnacentral:rRNA from 1 species